rnacentral:rRNA from 1 species
GAUGAACGCUGGCGGCGUGCCUAAUACAUGCAAGUCGAGCGAACAGACGAGGAGCUUGCUCCUCUGACGUUAGCGGCGGACGGGUGAGUAACACGUGGAUAACCUACCUAUAAGACUGGGAUAACUGCGGGAAACCGGAGCUAAUACCGGAUAAUAUAUUGAACCGCAUGGUUCAAUAGUGAAAUACGGUUUUGCUGUCACUUAUAGAUGGAUCCGCGCCGCAUUAGCUAGUUGGUAAGGUAACGGCUUACCAAGGCAACGAUGCGUAGCCGACCUGAGAGGGUGAUCGGCCACACUGGAACUGAGACACGGUCCAGACUCCUACGGGAGGCAGCAGUAGGGAAUCUUCCGCAAUGGGCGAAAGCCUGACGGAGCAACGCCGCGUGAGUGAUGAAGGUCUUCGGAUCGUAAAACUCUGUUAUUAGGGAAGAACAAAUGUGUAAGUAACUAUGCACGUCUUGACGGUACCUAAUCAGAAAGCCACGGCUAACUACGUG